GAUGAACGCUGGCGGCGUGCUUAACACAUGCAAGUCGAGCGGUAGAGAGAAGCUUGCUUCUCUUGAGAGCGGCGGACGGGUGAGUAAUGCCUAGGAAUCUGCCUGGUAGUGGGGGAUAACGUUCGGAAACGGACGCUAAUACCGCAUACGUCCUACGGGAGAAAGCAGGGGACCUUCGGGCCUUGCGCUAUCAGAUGAGCCUAGGUCGGAUUAGCUAGUUGGUGAGGUAAUGGCUCACCAAGGCGACGAUCCGUAACUGGUCUGAGAGGAUGAUCAGUCACACUGGAACUGAGACACGGUCCAGACUCCUACGGGAGGCAG
rnacentral:rRNA from 1 species